UGGGGAAUAUUGCACAAUGGGCGCAAGCCUGAUGCAGCCAUGCCGCGUGUGUGAAGAAGGCCUUCGGGUUGUAAAGCACUUUCAGCGGGGAGGAAGGCGAAAAGGUUAAUAACCUUGUCGAUUGACGUUACCCGCAGAAGAAGCACCGGCUAACCCCGUGCCAGCAGCCGCGGUAAUACGGAGGGUGCAAGCGUUAAUCGGAAUUACUGGGCGUAAAGCGCACGCAGGCGGUCUGUCAAGUCGGAUGUGAAAUCCCCGGGCUCAACCUGGGAACUGCAUUCGAGACUGGCAGGCUAGAGUCUUGUAGAGGGGGGUAGAAUUCCAGGUGGAGCGGUGACAUGCGUAGAGAUCUGGAGGAAUACCGGUGGCGAAGGCGGCCCCCUGGACAAAGACUGACGCUCAGGUGCGAAAGCGGGGGGAGCAAACAGG
rnacentral:rRNA from 1 species